UACGUAGGUGGCAAGCGUUGUCCGGAUUUAUUGGGUUUAAAGGGUGCGUAGGUGGUCUAUUAAGUCAGUGCUGAAAUAUCCCGGCUUAACCGGGAGGGUGGCAUUGAUACUGAUGGACUUGAGUAGAGUCGAGGUAGGCGGAAUUGACGGUGUAGCGGUGAAAUGCUUAGAUAUCGUCAAGAACACCUAUAGCGAAGGCAGCUUACUAGGCUCUAACUGACACUGAGGCACGAAAGCGUGGGGAGCAAACAGG
rnacentral:rRNA from 1 species